rnacentral:rRNA from 1 species
GUGCCAGCAGCCGCGGUAAUACGAAGGGGGCUAGCGUUGCUCGGAAUCACUGGGCGUAAAGCGCACGUAGGCGGCUUCUUAAGUCAGGGGUGAAAUCCUGGAGCUCAACUCCAGAACUGCCCUUGAUACUGAGAGGCUCGAGUCCGGGAGAGGUGAGUGGAACUCCGAGUGUAGAGGUGAAAUUCGUAGAUAUUCGGAAGAACACCAGUGGCGAAGGCGGCUCACUGGCCCGGUACUGACGCUGAGGUGCGAAAGCGUGGGGAGCAAACAGGAUUAGAAACCCGUGUAGUCC